AACGAACGCUGGCGGCAUGCCUAACACAUGCAAGUCGAACGAGACCUUCGGGUCUAGUGGCGCACGGGUGCGUAACGCGUGGUAACCUGCCCUUAGGUUCGGAAUAACUCCCCGAAAGGGGUGCUAAUACCGGAUAAUGUCUUCGGACCAAAGAUUUAUCGCCUUUGGAUGGGCCCUCGUUGGAUUAGCUAGUUGGUAGGGUAAAAGCCUACCAAGGCGACGAUCCAUAGCUGGUCUGAGAGGAUGAUUAGCCACACUGGGAAUGAGACACGGACCAGACUCCUACGGGAGGCAGCAGUGGGGAAUAUUGGACAAUGGGCGAAAGCGUGAUCCAGCAAUGCCGCGUGAGUGAUGAAGGCCUUAGGGUUGUAAAGCUCUUUUACCCGGGAUGAUAAUGACAGUACCGGGAGAAUAAGCUCCGGCUAACUACGUG
rnacentral:rRNA from 1 species